CCUACGGGAGGCAGCAGUAAGGAAUCUUCCGCAAUGGGCGAAAGCCUGACGGAGCAACGCCGCGUGGGCGAUGAAGGUCUUCGGGUCGUAAAGCCCUUUUCUGUGGGACGAUAAUGACGGUACCACAGGAAUAAGCCACGGCUAACUACGUGCCAGCAGCCGCGGUAAUACGUAGGUGGCUAGCGUUAUCCGGAUUCACUGGGCGUAAAGAGCGCGUAGGCGGUGUGCUAAGUUGGACGUGAAGGCCCCCGGCUUAACCGGGGGAGGUCGUCCAAUACGGGUGCACUUGAGGGUGGACGGGGAAAGCGGAAUUUCCGGUGUAGUGGUAAAAUGCGUAGAUAUCGGGAGGAAGGCCGGUGGCGAGGGCGGCCCCCUGGCGCUUGACUGACGCUGAGGCGCGAAAGCGUGGGGAGCAAACAGGAUUAGAUACCCCUGUAGU
rnacentral:rRNA from 1 species